rnacentral:misc_RNA from 1 species
CUGCUCUGAAGUCUUCUUCUUCAGUACCUGAUUCCCACACAGCAACUUCUGAAUUGUUAAACGAAUCUUCAGAUCCAGAAUCUUCCCACGCCAUCUUUCUCAUAGAAUUAUCUUUAGCAUUUGUCCUGAAAGAGCUAAUCCUUUCCAAUUUCCCCCCAGGAACUUUAGAUGCUUUUAAUUCAUUGAGCACCUCACCAUUUUCAUUGGUAUCAUUCUCAAGAUCAUCCACCCCAGUCUCAUUUCUGAUCAUGGGAUAAACAU